UCUGCAUGUACUAUGACAUCAUCACUGGAUAUUAUCACUGGAUGGUUCAAAGAUAUCAGGAAGAUGCCAAUUCUUCAUCGCUGCCUAAGCCACAUUAUGAAGAAUGCGAAAGUGUUCUGCAAGAAACACUCCCAUAGUGGUGACAAUGUACAAAAGCACCUCCAAAAUCUUCAGAACAGGAUGGAGAGAAUGGGCAUGUAUGAAGGAAGUUACUGUGGUGACAAUGACUUUCAGGUUAAAGUGGGACCAACACCAUUUCACACUCAUUUUGAAGAAAUAAUGGCAAAUGCACCUGUAUGUGAAAAUGGGGAGACAAUUGAGUAUCAUUCACCUACAUUCAUGCCUAGCCUGUUAAAAUAUUUCCUACCUCAGGCACCUCUCUGGUCUGGUCUUAUGUUGGGUAAGUGGACUUUAGUUGUACGUGUAUGAGGUUGUGUGAGUUGAAGAAUGUCAGAUAUGUGAAUUGUAAGUAGCUGUAUGCAAAUGAAAAACAUUCCCCUCACUUUGAAAACGCUCAACAGUGUGAAAAGUUUGAAUUAUUAUGUUGUAUACUCUGUGUGAAUUAUUACUUAUAUAAUUUAAUGGUAUAAAUGGGUUACUUUCAAAUUGUCUAGGUGAUCUUGGCCGCCGUGGAAAAGGACCAGCCUACAAAUGUCUGUCCAACAACUUUAUGCGCUGCAGAGACUUAUCUACACAGAACUACACAGAGGACAACAAAACACAGGGUGUGAUGGAGAAAAGUCAGUGGGAUCUGAAGAAAAUACGAUUCCAGAGACGCCGUUUUACAAGACUUGGUGACUUUGUUUACAUUUAUUAGCACACCCAUAAUGCUCUAUUAAUGGAGUUCUCUGACUCUGAACGCAAGAAAAAGACACACAGGGUACAUGUCGAGCGCUGGAAACAAAGAAAGCCUCGCAGGAAAGCAAUUUAUGUGUCACCACUUAAAAAGGGUUUCCCAUUCAAGACAGCCAAAAAGGUACUGUAUUAACAUACAACUUAUUGCAAUCAGAGUUGGACAGUACUGAAAUAGUUUUAAAUGUAAAAAUAAUCUGUACCAGUGUUUUUCUUUGGAAAACAUUUACUUCACUACAUUCAAAAGCAUAAUGUUGUCAUUUUUGCUGCACUACAUUUCAAAUACAGGUAUGUGCCAAAAAAUUAGAAUAUCGAGGGAAAGUCCAUUUAUUUUAGUAAUUUGAUUCGAAACGUGAAACUUGUAUGUUAUAUUCGUUCACUACACACAAAGUGAAAUAUUUCAAUCAUUUUAUUUUUUUGUAACAGGGGGACUCGACAACAGCGUUGUAAGAUCCAAGUGCGAGCUUUUAUUACACAGAUCGUAGUCAAGACAGGCAGGGUCGAACACCAGCAAACAGUAUAUCCAAGGCAAGACAAAUGCAUAAUCCAAAAGACAGGCAAGUGUCAAAAUCCAAGUGAGCAAACAGGGAAAACGCUAAGUAGAAUCCACAACAGCAAAACAAUACUUUGCAAGGUUCUGUUUGGCAUAGCCUUCUUUAUAUAGCUGCCAAACAGGAAGUAACCAAAGAAGCAGCAGAGAGAGUGGUAACAGUCAGUGUAGGGUUAGGGCUCCUUCUGCUAGCCUGGCAUUACAAUUUGUUUCAAUUUUGAUGAUUAUAGAUUAAAGACAAAAAAACAAAACAAAUCUAGUAUUUCACAAAAUUAGAAUAUUUCAUGUGACCAAUAAAAAAAGGAUCUAAAACACAUGUUGGCCUUCUGAAAAGCGUGUUAAUGUUAAAGGACCCCCUUUUGCUCUAAUUACAGCAUCAAGGCGGCGCGGCAUGGAGGCAAUCAGGCUUUGACACAGCUUAGGUGCCAGAUCCUGCUGGAAAAUAAAAUCAUCAUCUCCAAAAAGCUUGUCGGCAGCAGGAAGCAUGAAGUGCUCUAAAAUUUCCUGGUAUACAGCUGUGUUUAAUUGAUAAAAGACAAUAGACCCACACCAGCAGAUGACAUGACUCCCCAAACCAUCACUGACUGUGGAAACUUCACACUGGACUUUAAGCAGCUUGACUUUUGUGCCUCUCCGAUCUUUCUCCAGACUCUGGGACCUUGAUUUCCAAAUUAAAUGCAAAAUUUGCUUUCAUCUAAAAACAGGACUUGGGACCACUGGGCAAGAGACCAGUACUUUUUCUCCUUAGCCCUGCACAGAUGCUCCUGACAUUGUUUUUGGUUCAGGCGUCACUUGACACAUAAUCAAGCUUUUCUGAGAUGAUGAUUUUAUUUUCCAGCAAGAUUUGUGUUCUUAAUACAAUUAAUACACAUUUUAACUACAUGUAUUACAUUGUAAUCUGUGUCACAGUAAGCUUUAGUAAUUAAAGUAUUGUUGUGUUUGUCUAUAAUAAUAAUUACUGUUUAUUGUGAAUAAAACACAUGCUCUUACUGCAUUACUUACAAUAAAUGUGAAAUUUA